CCUACGGGUGGCAGCAGUGGGGGAUAUUGCACAAUGGGGGGAACCCUGAUGCAGCGACGCCGCGUGGAUGAAGAAGCGCCUCGGCGCGUAAAGUCCUGUCAGCAGGGAAGAAAAUGACGGUACUUGCAGAAUAAGCCCCGGCUAACUACGUGCAAGCAGCCGCGGUAAUACGGAGGGGGCAAGCGUUAUCCGGAUUUACUGGGUGUAAAGGGGGUGGAGGCGGCGGUGCAAUCCAGGGGUGAAAGCCUUGGGCCCAACCCCGGGACUGCUGGUGCAACUGCGUGGCUGGAGUGCAGGAGGGGCAGGCGGAAUUCCUGGUGUAGCGGUGGAAUGCGUAGAUAUCAGGAGGAACACCGGGGGCGAAGGCGGCCUACUGGACUGCAACUGACGCUGAGGCACGAAAGCGUGGGGAGCAAACAGGAUUAGAUACCCCUGUAGUC
rnacentral:rRNA from 1 species